rnacentral:rRNA from 1 species
UUGAAAGGGAAACGAUUGAAGUCAGUCGUACCUUCGGGUAAUCAGCCUUUCGGGUGCGAUUCUGUGGAGCGUGAGGAGUUAAACGCCUUCAUGCCUGCAUAUUCGUGCACCUUGGGUGUACUUGCCCGUGUGGUAGGUUAACAUCAAUUUCGGAUGUCAUAAAAUGGCUGGAGGAAUGUAGCUUCGGUCUCGUACUGAAGUGUUAUAGCCUUUGGUAGAUGUGAUGACCGGGAUUGAGGAUUGCAACGAAUACCUUUUGGGCUACCCGCCUGAUCUCUGAAAGUUGCUCUGGUGCCGAAAGCGUGCUUACGGUUAUCAAAGUUGACGUUCAAAAGGUUAGAACGGGUUAAAUUCGUUAAGGAUGUUGACGUA